rnacentral:rRNA from 1 species
GACGAACGCUGGCGGCGUGCCUAAUACAUGCAAGUCGAGCGCAGGAAGCCGUCUGAACCCUUCGGGGGGACGACGGUGGAAUGAGCGGCGGACGGGUGAGUAACACGUAAAGAACCUGCCCAUAGGUCUGGGAUAACCACGAGAAAUCGGGGCUAAUACCGGAUGUGUCAUCGGACCGCAUGGUCCGCUGAUGAAAGGCGCUCCGGCGUCGCCCAUGGAUGGCUUUGCGGUGCAUUAGCUAGUUGGUGGGGUACCGGCCCACCAAGGCGACGAUGCAUAGCCGACCUGAGAGGGUGAUCGGCCACACUGGGACUGAGACACGGCCCAGACUCCUACGGGAGGCAGCAGUAGGGAAUCUUCCACAAUGGACGAAAGUCUGAUGGAGCAACGCCGCGUGAACGAUGAAGGCUUUCGGGUCGUAAAGUUCUGUUGUAAGGGAAGAACAAGUGCCGCAGGCAAUGGCGGCACCUUGACGGUACCUUGCGAGAAAGCCACGGCUAACUACGUGCCAGCAGCCGCCGUA